rnacentral:rRNA from 1 species
GACGAACGCUGGCGGCGUGCUUAACACGUGCAAGUCGAACGGAAAGGCCCUGCUUUUGUGGGGUGCUCGAGUGGCGAACGGGUGAGUAACACGUGAGUAACCUGCCCUUGACUUUGGGAUAACUUCAGGAAACUGGGGCUAAUACCGGAUAGGAGCUCCUGCUGCAUGGUGGGGGUUGGAAAGUUUCGGCGGUUGGGGAUGGACUCGCGGCUUAUCAGCUUGUUGGUGGGGUAGUGGCUUACCAAGGCUUUGACGGGUAGCCGGCCUGAGAGGGUGACCGGCCACAUUGGGACUGAGAUACGGCCCAGACUCCUACGGGAGGCAGCAGUGGGGAAUAUUGCACAAUGGGCGGAAGCCUGAUGCAGCAACGCCGCGUGCGGGAUGACGGCCUUCGGGUUGUAAACCGCUUUCGCCUGUGACGAAGCGUGAGUGACGGUAAUGGGUAAAGAAGCACCGGCUAACUACGUGCCAGCAGCCGCGGUGAUACGUAGGGUGCGAGCGUUGUCCGGAUUUAUUGGGCGUAAAGGGCUCGUAGGUGGUUGAUCGCGUCGGAAGUGUAAUCUUGGGGCUUAACCCUGAGCGUGCUUUCGAUACGGGUUGACUUGAGGAAGGUAGGGGAGAAUGGAAUUCCUGGUGGAGCGGUGGAAUGCGCAGAUAUCAGGAGGAACACCAGUGGCGAAGGCGGUUCUCUGGGCCUUUCCUGACGCUGAGGAGCGAAAGCGUGGGGAGCGAACAGGCUUAGAUACCCUGGUAGUCCACGCUGUAAACGGUGGGUACUAGGUGUGGGGUCCAUUCCACGGGUUCCGUGCCGUAGCAAACGCUUUAAGUACCCCGCCUGGGGAGUACGGCCGCAAGGCUAAAACUCAAAGGAAUUGACGGGGCCCCGCACAAGCGGCGGAGCAUGCGGAUUAAUUCGAUGCAACGCGUAGAACCUUACCUGGGUUUGACAUGGAUCGGGAGUGCUCAGAGAUGGGUGUGCCUCUUUUGGGGUCGGUUCACAGGUGGUGCAUGCCUGUCGUCAGCUCGUGUCGUGAGAUGUUGGGUUAAGUCCCGCAACGAGCGCAACCCUUGUUCACUGUUGCCAGCACGUUAUGGUGGGGACUCAGUGGAGACCGCCGGGGUCAACUCGGAGGAAGGUGGGGAUGACGUCAAGUCAUCAUGCCCCUUAUGUCCAGGGCUUCACGCAUGCUACAAUGGCUGGUACAGAGAGUGGCGAGCCUGUGAGGGUGAGCGAAUCUCGGAAAGCCGGUCUCAGUUCGGAUUGGGGUCUGCAACUCGACCUCAUGAAGUCGGAGUCGCUAGUAAUCGCAGAUCAGCAACGCUGCGGUGAAUACGUUCCCGAGGCU